rnacentral:lncRNA from 1 species
CAAAGAGUAAGCACUCUUCAGAUACAUAACAAUAACAAUAGCUAAGCACUAGAUAGUGUCAGUUAUAUAUAACUGAAUCAGUCAGGGUUCAACCAGGGAAGCAGAUAUGAGGUACAGAAUAAGGAAAUUAAUAUAAGAAUUACAUAAUUCUGGGAAGAGCUAGGAAGGGAGGUCUGAAAGGAGAGUUGGGAAAUUAGAGUCACCAAGUCAAUCUCAGAGGCCAAGGUCACCUGACUGCCAAAAGGAGUGUCACAAAGAGGGAGCUGGUGGAAACACCUAUGGGAACAGAUGGUGGAUCAGCAUUCCAGCCUUUGGUGAAGGGCUGGAGCCACUGCUGGUCAGCAGGGUCAGCAGUCAGGAAGAAGAGCUGGACACAGAGUGGAGAACAAGGACAACCUCUCAUCUCUAAGUCAACCAUCACAUCUAACACCACAGCCUUCAGAGAGCAAUGGCUGCUGCUUGACUCGCACCAACUCAAUCUCCAGCAAGAAGCUUUUUUGGUCAACUAUAACUCAGAGCCAUACAGGGUAGACCUUUGUCUUUUCACCCUGAGUAGAUUCCUUACAAUCUCUGAAAUGGAAUCUUUCCUAAUGCCCGUUCUGCUAAGGUUAGAAAGUUUCUUUGAUCCAUUGAAACAUGAAAUAUUCAUACCUGAAAUACGUAUAUUCACACACACAGAACUCACACAAAUUGUAUAACCUAUCUUGUAGACCAUCUGGAAGAAAAGUAUUUAAACGUUCAAGAACAUUUGACACUUUGUCCUUUCUUGUUUGUCCUUGUAAGAAUCUACACACGAUUGUUUCUUCUAUCAGGAGGUUCAAACUCCAGUGAAAGUCUUGUCACUGGAGAUCACUAGAUAAGAGAAAGGAUUUCUGGGACACUUGGUUUCUGUAGACAGCGUCAUGUGUUCAGUUUUGUCUAACAAUAGUCUAUAUCCACGUAUACCUAUAAACUGAGUGGAGCUACUACUAACAAAGACAGUUCCGCAGGAAGCAAUGAGCCAAGCAUUCUUACCAUCUGUACUCAUGAGUGCCCAUAGAGUAGAUGAUUCCUUUAUCAGGAGCUACUAUCAUAACUUUUUCUUUAACCAUGGGAUUCUUGAGGUCUAACGAAGCAGUUCAACAACCAAGUUAAUCAUUUUGGAAUGCAACGCUCUCUUUGUACAUUUUCCCAUGCUUGUGUGAAGAACAUACGCAUUUAUAGACAGCAUUCACCAAACUAACUUCAUUUACAAAGAGGUUAUGCAUUCACACUUCUAACUUAUGUUGACCUGAAUGGGACACGGGCAGUGUGUCAAGUAGGGCUUUAUCUCUAAAUAAAUCUUCUGAAUUCAAACAAAGUACAAAUAAAUAUUUUCAAUUUUCCAUCUUUGGAGGUAAGACUUCUCAAACCCAGAUGCUAUAAAUAUUCUAAUUUCUAAUAAUUCAUUAAUGUUUACCACAGUUUAAUAUUUUCCAGGCCACAAUAUAAACAUUUUUCCACGAGAUCAUGAGGGUGGGGCCCUCAUGAAGGCAUUAGUGCCCUUAGAAGAAGAGAUAGGAGAGAACUUGUUCUCUAUCUCUGCACACUCACAAAGAAGAGCUCAUGGGAGCACAGAGCAAGAUGGUGGCCCUACCACAGGCCAG